rnacentral:rRNA from 1 species
ACUCCUACGGGAGGCAGCAGUGGGGAAUAUUGCGCAAUGGGCGAAAGCCUGACGCAGCCAUGCCGCGUGUGUGAAGAAGGCCUUAGGGUUGUAAAGCACUUUCAAUUGGGAAGAAAAGCUGUUGCCUAAUACGCAACAGCCCUGACAUUACCUUUAGAAGAAGCACCGGCUAACUCCGUGCCAGCAGCCGCGGUAAUACGGAGGGUGCGAGCGUUAAUCGGAAUUACUGGGCGUAAAGCGCGCGUAGGCGGUUUGUUAAGUCGGAUGUGAAUCCGGCUCCCAGCUAGGCCUGGACCCGACCGUGGCCGACUAGAGUACGAGAGAGGGGGGUAGAAUUCCACGUGUAGCGGUGAAAUGCGUAGAUAUGUGGAGGAAUACCAGUGGCGAAGGCGGCCCCCUGGCUUGAUACUGACGCUGAGGUGCGAAGCGUGGGGAGCAACAGGAUUAGAUACCCUGGUAGGCUCU